CACAUAUAAAUUGAUGCAGAGAAAAGUGACGGUCAUUUUACAAUUUUGAGUUGAAGAGUUAACUUCGAGUUGAUUAAAGUUUUAAAACCAAAAAAUCUUCUAAAAAAAAAAUGUCUGAUCGCAACGCUGGAAAUCGUACUAAUCAGUGCAACCCAACGCACACUCCUACAGGUCCCGGGCAUCAAGCUGGAUACCAUGGUACGGGAACCAAAUCUGAUUUGGACAACCAUGGAAAUCAGUUGAACCCCAACAACUCGAACUAUCAAGGAAAGAAGUAAUUUCGACUUUGUCGAGUAAAAGUAGUAUGUAGUUCCAAAAUUACAUAUGAAGAAUAAAUUUUGAAAAAUCAAAAUAA